UACGAAAGGGGACUAGGCGUUGUUCGGAUUUACUGGGCGUAAAGCGCGCGUAGGCGGAUCGCUAAGUCAGGGUGAAAUCCCAGGGCUCAACCCUGGAACUGGCCUUUGAUACUGACGAUCUGGAGAUCGGGAGAGGUUGGUGGAAUUCCGAGUGUAGAGGUGAAAUUCGUAGAUAUUCGGAGGAACACCAGAAGCGAAGGCGGCCAACUGGCCCGAUACUGACGCUGAGGCGCGAAAGCGUGGGGAGCAAACAGG
rnacentral:rRNA from 1 species